UUUCCUUUCGAUAGCGGUGCAGCGAACCAUGUGUGCGAUCGAUCGAUCGAUGUGUAUUGGAUCGAUCUACACAUGAAAUAGCUAUAGCCUUGGCAUGUACUACAUCGAUCUGGCCCUCUUUGUGAUCUUCCACAGCUUUCUUGAACUGCACGCAUGAUGAAUAAUCCCUUUGGUUAAUUGUGAUCUGGUCUCUGAGAGAUCGUAGUUAGACUCGAUCGGUUGCAUUGGCAUCAGAGAGAGCAGUUCAAUAAAGCUGUGGGAAAUUGCAGAGAGAGACCAAAUCUCGUCAUCGGUCAUUCGGUAUCUGUAAGUGACGCCGCCAGCAAAUUCCCAAUUAAUUCUCUCUUAUGCCUCACGCACGAUGGAUCGAUGGAGGUAUGCUAAUUAGGUAUAUUUUCCCAUGGUUAUUUAUAUAUGUAUUUGUUUAUUAUAAUCGCGUGCUGUAUCAUCUCUCGGAUCCCCCAUUUUGUUUGUUUCUCCCUAACAUUCAAAUGCGCCAUGCAUGCACUGUUGUGAGAUCUCAACUGUUUACAAAGUAUUCAAAUACUUUCCAACUUCUUCUUGUUGUAUCACAGCUAUUGCUUGAUAAAGGAAUGCGAAUUUUAAAUGACAGAAUAUGGUGAUGUAUAUAGAAACCAACACAGUAUUUCCCCAAUUAGUAGUACUCCAUAUACUCCAUAUAUGACCGACGGUUAAUUUGCUAUUAAUCUGCUGUUCCAUAUAUGUAAUGUUUGUUGGUAUAUUGGUG
rnacentral:precursor_RNA from 1 species